AAAGUUUAAUGCAGAAUAAAAUACUCCAAUAUGAGAUUGCUAUGGAGGAAUAGAAGGCUUUAAAGCCUAAAGAUUCACAAGCAGAACAAAUGCAAAAAUGGUUUCUAGUCUGUUGGCAUUUCAGGUACAAUGGAUGUUUUAAAAAGAAGCCAAAUUAAUGUAUUUUUCUAACCACAGAAUACUAUGACUGUAUUUGGCAUCUCAUCUCUUACGAAGCUUAUGCAUUAUCUUGCAUAUAAUAGCCACUAAACAGUGUUGUAGUAUUCUGUUCAUCUGAAAGAUAGACAAAUUCUGUUUAACAGUCCUUAGACAUUUCUUUUGCUGCAUUUUGGCCUCAUGAACACCUUAUCCUUGUUUUCCCUUUAAAAGGAAAAAAAUUAAAGGUAAAAACCAUUAGGGGUUUCUCUUUAAAUCCAGCAAUCUAUGCAUACUACUAAGAAUCAAUGCUCUGUAAGCUGUCUGGUGUUCUGCAAUAAAUUCUAGCUUUUAUAGACUUUUUCUGGGCCAGGUAGCUGUUAAUGCCAUAGAAAUUGAUUAUUUGUGGUGUUCUUAUCACUGCUUAAAAUAUCUAAUUGCUUUUUCUCCACAGAUUUGGAUUUGGCUUGCUUGAUGCUGGACGAUUAAUGAAGGAAGCCCUAACUGGACAAAUGUUGGUCUCCUGAGACAAUGUGUUGUUGAUAACAGAAAAGGAUUGACAAUAAGAUGUGGAUGUUCAUCUUUAAUGAACUUUAGUCACCAAGUGGAAGCCAGCUAAGUUUGAUGAUGCAAUUGACCACCUUCUCAGCAACAGCUGAAUGUUUGCUCCUCAAAAGAGUAAGAGCAAGCCUGUUAACUGCAAAUGUGAAGAGAUGAAGCAAGCAAAAAAGAAAAAGUGUGAAGAGCUUUGCUGCCACAUCAUCCCGGUAUCAGAUAGUUUUGGGAUCAAUGAACAGGUAUGUAAAAGGGACUGUUAUUCUACAGAGAAGGGCUAUUCCAGAGAAAUGAAGGGGGAAAAAUUAAAAGGCAGUACAUUGUCACUAUAUGAUGACAAUAUUAGAGAAAGAAUUUCAUUUGUCUUCUUUUAA
rnacentral:lncRNA from 1 species